GCGGCGUCCUACUUCAUGCAAGUCGAAGCGGACAGAAAGGGAAGCUUGCUCCCGGAUGUUAGCGGCGGACGGGUGAGUAACACGUGGGUAACCUGCCUGUAAGACUGGGAUAACUCCGGGAAACCGGAGCUAAUACCGGAUAGUUCCUUGAACCGCAUGGUUCAAGGAUGAAAGACGGUUUCGGCUGUCACUUACAGAUGGACCCGCGGCGCAUUAGCUAGUUGGUGAGGUAACGGCUCACCAAGGCGACGAUGCGUAGCCGACCUGAGAGGGUGAUCGGCCACACUGGGACUGAGACACGGCCCAGACUCCUACGGGAGGCAGCAGUAGGGAAUCUUCCGCAAUGGACGAAAGUCUGACGGAGCAACGCCGCGUGAGUGAUGAAGGUUUUCGGAUCGUAAAGCUCUGUUGUUAGGGAAGAACAAGUGCAAGAGUAACUGCUUGCACCUUGACGGUACCUAACCAGAAAGCCACGGCUAACUACGUGCCAGCAGCCGCGGUAAUACGUAGGUGGCAAGCGUUGUCCGGAAUUAUUGGGCGUAAAGGGCUCGCAGGCGGUUUCUUAAGUCUGAUGUGAAAGCCCCCGGCUCAACCGGGGAGGGUCAUUGGAAACUGGGAAACUUGAGUGCAGAAGAGGAGAGUGGAAUUCCACGUGUAGCGGUGAAAUGCGUAGAGAUGUGGAGGAACACCAGUGGCGAAGGCGACUCUCUGGUCUGUAACUGACGCUGAGGAGC
rnacentral:rRNA from 1 species